CUAUUAUUACGAUUUUAAAAAAAUUACAGCAUUUCUAAUAUUUUAUCAGAUUCUUUAUGUUAAUAAAAUCAAUUUCAUUUUGUAAAAAUUCAUUUCAGAGAAUACAACCACCUUUAAACAUUAGUUAUGCACUGCCUACCAAGGACGGAGGGUGCGUAAUUCUGGCUAUUUAUUUUCUAAGCAAAUACUCCCACGGUUUUGGGAGCUCUUCUACUUCCCUGUUAUUUAUAACUGCUUUUAACUUCCUGUCUUUCGCUAUUUGUAGGUUUUCUGCCACCAGUAAUUCUACUUUGCCUGCUAUUUGGUUAACUACUUUGGCUU
rnacentral:lncRNA from 1 species